UACGUAGGGUGCAAGCGUUAAUCGGAAUUACUGGGCGUAAAGCGCGCGUAGACGGUUUUGUAGGUCAGAUGUGAAAUCCCCGGGCUCAACCUGGGAACUGCAUUUGAUACUGCAUGGCUAGAGUACGGUAGAGGGAAGCGGAAUUUCCGGUGUAGCGGUGAAAUGCGUAGAUAUCGGAAGGAACACCAGUGGCGAAAGCGGCUUCCUGGACUAGUACUGACGUUCAUGUGCGAAAGCGUGGGGAGCAAACAGG
rnacentral:rRNA from 1 species